rnacentral:rRNA from 1 species
AUUGAACGCUGGCGGCAUGCCUAACACAUGCAAGUCGAGCGAACGAAGGAGAAUCUUUCUUGUCUGAAGUUAGCGACGGAUGGGUAAGUCAUAGGAAGCUAACUGAUAUAUAGGACUAGCGUAACUUCGGGAACCCUAAUCUACCACAGGACCUUAUGUUGAAAGGGAGGGUUCAACAGAGAACACCGGUCUUGCUGACCCUUAUAGAUGGAACCUCGCUGCAUUAGCUAGUUGGUAAGGUAACGGCGUACCAAGGCAACGAUGCAUAGCCGACCUGAGAGGAUGAUCAGUCACACUGGAACUGAGACACGGUCCAGACUCCUACGGGAGGCAGCAGUGGGGAAUAUUCGACAAUGGGCGAAAGCCUGAUGGAGCCAUGCCGCGUGUGUGAAGAAGGUCUUCGGAUUGUAAAGCUCUGUAAGUUGGGAGGAACGGAUGUGUGUUUAUCUCUUCAUGUCUUGACGUUACCUAAAGAAAAAGCAACGGCUAACUUCGUG